rnacentral:misc_RNA from 1 species
GAUGAAGAACGUAGCGAAAUGCGAAAAGUAGUGUGAAUUGCAGAAUUCAGUGAAUCAUCGAAUCUUUGAACGCACAUUGCGCCCGCCAGUAUUCUGGCGGGCAUGCCUGUUCGAGCGUCAUUUCAACCAUCAAGCCCCAGGCUUGUGUUGGGGACCUGCGGCUGCCGCAGGCCCUGAAAACCAGUGGCGGGCUCGCUGUCACACCGGGCGUAGUAGAUUUUAUCUCGCUCUGGGCGUGCUGCGGGUUCCGGCCGUUAAAAAACCCUUUUAACCCAAGGUUGACCUCGGAUCAGGUAGGAAUACCCGCUGAACUUAAGCAUAUCAAUAAGCGGAGGA